rnacentral:rRNA from 1 species
CCUACGGGAGGCAGCAGUGAGGAAUAUUGGUCAAUGGCCGGAAGGCUGAACCAGCCAUGCCGCGUGAAGGUCAGUGCUCUAUGGGCGUUAAACUUCUUUUGUGCGGGAGCAAUAAUGGUCACGUGUGGCCAGACGAGAGUACCGUACGAAUAAGCAUCGGCUUACUCCGUGCCAGCAGCCGGGGGAAAACCGGGGAUGCAAGCGUUAUCCGGAGUUCUUGGGUUUAAAGGGGGCGUAGGCGGGGAGGUAAGUCAGCGGUGAAAUGCCCCCGCUCAACGGGGUGAAGUGCCAUUGAUACUGCCAUGCUGGAGUGCGGAUGACGUGGGAGGAAUGUGUGGUGUAGCGGUGAAAUGCAUAGAUAUCACACAGAACACCGAUUGCGAAGGCAUCUCACGAAUCCGCGAUUGACGCUGAUGCACGAAAGCGUGGGUAUCAAACAGGAUUAGAUACCCGUGUAGUC